rnacentral:rRNA from 1 species
CAAUAGCGUAUAUUAAAGUUGUUGCAGUUAAAAAGCUCGUCGUUGGAUUUCUGAGGGCAGCUGUUUGGCCUCCGUGUUCGGUGCGCCUACCGCUGUUCUCAUCCUUCUGUUAACUGUUGUUGGCAUUCAUUUGUCGCUUCAGAGCUCAGAUACUUUACCUUGAGCAAAUUAGAGUGUUUCAGGCAGGCUUUUCGCCCGAAUACAUUAGCAUGGAAUAAUAGAAUAGGACUUCGUUGCAUUUUAUUGGUUUUAUGUACGGAGUAAUGAUUAAUAGGGAUAAUUGGGGGCAUUAGUAUUUAACUGUCAGAGGUGAAAUUCUUUGAUUUGUUAAAGACUAACUUAUGCGAAAGCAUUUGCCAAGAGUGUUUUCAUUAA